rnacentral:rRNA from 1 species
CAGCAGCCGCGGUAAUACGUAGGUGGCAAGCGUUGUCCGGAAUUAUUGGGCGUAAAGGGCUCGCAGGCGGUUUCUUAAGUCUGAUGUGAAAGCCCCCGGCUCAACCGGGGAGGGUCAUUGGAAACUGGGAAACUUGAGUGCAGAAGAGGAGAGUGGAAUUCCACGUGUAGCGGUGAAAUGCGUAGAGAUGUGGAGGGACACCAGUGGCGAAGGCGACUCUCUGGUCUGUAACUGACGCUGAGGAGCGAAAGCGUGGGGAGCGAACAGGAUUAGAUACCCCUGUAGUCCCUGUCUCUUAUAA